rnacentral:rRNA from 1 species
UACGUAGGGGGCAAGCGUUGUCCGGAAUCAUUGGGCGUAAAGCGCGUGUAGGCGGCCCGAUAAGUCCGCUGUGAAAGUCGGGGGCUCAACCCUCGGAUGCCGGUGGAUACUGUCGGGCUCGAGUGCGGAAGAGGCGAGUGGAAUUCCUGGUGUAGCGGUGACAUGCGCAGAUAUCAGGAGGAACACCAAUUGCGAAGGCAGCUCGCUGGGACGUUACUGACGCUGAGACGCGAAAGCGUGGGGAGCAAACAGG